GACAGAGGGUGCAACGUUGUUCGGAAUUACUGGGCGUAAAGCGCACGUAGGCGGACUGUUAAGUCGGGGGUGAAAUCCUGGGGCUCAACCCUCAGAAUUGCCUCCGAUACUGGCAGUCUCGAGUGCGGGAGAGGUGAGUGGAAUUCCCAGUGUAGAGGUGAAAUUCGUAGAUAUUGGGAAGAACACCAGUGGCGAAGGCGGCUCACUGGCCCGUAACUGACGCUGAGGUGCGAAAGCG
rnacentral:rRNA from 1 species